AUGCUAUAAUGGGUACAAUUUCCCUCCAUCCUUUCAAAAGUUUACGUUUUUCAAAAUUUUGCUUUAAAUCUACUUUUGCGCGAGAAUCCACAUAAGAAUAUUUUGGCACAAUUAAAACAUCUUGAAAAUCUAGUUGAGGAUUUUUCUGUUUUUUUUUUAAUGUUACCCACUUUUUAAAUUGAUUACGAAAACGUAUAAUUUGUUCAAUUAAAACUCUAGUAAUCUAGUUAGACAUACAAGAGGGGUUUGUAAUUCACGCUAUGCUAUAUAAACAUGCAACAUUUACGCUCCUAUUACCGUGUUGCAAUUCAUGCAUGUUAAGUUUUGUACAAAAGACGUUUAAAUAUGUAAUUUACUAGUACAGGAUAGAUUAGUGUAUUUUAAUAGUAAUACGUAUACAGGUAAAGGGUGCAGUAUGAAUAAAUUAUGUUUUCACUUAAACGCUACACCUUCAAGAUGGGCUGUGUGGAUAUGUCAAAACUAUAUGACAGGGAAAAUUUCCAUUAGUCAUUCAUAACCUUUAAACUUUAAGAGCAUACGAAUACCGUAUUUUUUUAAGAUUUCUACGUAACGUAAUUGAAUGUUUCUUCUGACCGUUAAUUAGAAGAUUCAAAUUUCAAUUUUUUGUUUUUUAUAAUGUUGCGUGCUUACUUUAUAGUCAAGGCGUGUAUAUAAUCCGCAAAAAAAGAAAUUUUGGUAUUAGUAACGUGAAACACAUUUUUUGUUUUCAAUCUAUGGUAAAGUCGAAGGGGUCGUUAUUUUUUUUUAUCUUUAUCUUUUUUUUCCGUCCUAUGUCAUAAGCAAAAUCUUCUCGAUUACGUCGAGUAGUUAUAGGU